AGGAUGAACGCUGGCGGCGUGCCUAACACAUGCAAGUCGAACGUCCUGUCUCGCAAGAGGCAGGGAGUGGCGGACGGGUGAGUACCACGUGGGUCAUCUACCGUGAGGUGAGGAAUACCGGCGAGAAAUCGCCGACAAGACCGCAUAGGCUCGAUGCAAGUCGAGCAAAGCUCUUUCGAGAGAGGGAGCGCCACACGAGGGGCCUGCGCCCGAUUAGCUAGCUGGUGGAGUAACGGUUCACCAGGGCGACGAUCGGUAGCUGGUCUGAGAGGACGAUCAGCCACACUGGGAUUGAGAACGGCCCAGACUCCUACGGGGGGCAGCAGUGAGGAAUUUUCGUCAAUGGGGGCAACCCUGAACGAGCAACGCCGCGUGCAGGAAGAAGGUUUUCGGAUCGUAAACUGCUUUUCUCGGGGAAGAGAACGGACGGUACCCGAGGAAUCAGCCCCGGCUAACUACGUGCCAGCAGCCGC
rnacentral:rRNA from 1 species